rfam:Felis catus isolate Cinnamon breed Abyssinian chromosome F1, whole genome shotgun sequence.
GCCUGGGUGGCUCAGUUGCUUGAGCAUCUGAUUUCAGCUCAGGUCAUGAUCUCAUGAUUUGUGGGUUCAAGCCCCACGUCGGGCU